rnacentral:rRNA from 1 species
AACGUAGGAGACAAACGUUAUCCGGAGUUACUGGGCGUAAAGGGCGUGCAGGUGGUCUGUUAAGUCUGGCGUGAAAGCUCCUGGCUAAACCGGGAGAGGUCGUUGGAUACUGGCGGACUAGAGGACGGUAGAGGCGGUGUGGAAUUCCGGGUGUAGUGGUGAAAUGCGUAGAGAUCCGGAGGAACACCAGUGGCGAAGGCGAACACGCUGGGCCGUACCGUGACACUGAUACGCGACAGCA